UCGCUUCCCAUUCCAUCCAUCCUAUCCAGGAAGAAAGCUUCUCUCUUUUCCCCUCGCCUCGCCGGGAGGAAAUCCCCAAAACCCUAGCCGUCGCUGUCGCCGUCGCCGAUGCCGUCGCCGAUGCCGCGCAGACGUAGCCGACGCCCUCCCCCUCCACCACCAGAAUCAGAUGCAUCACCCCUUCCCGUGCCCUCCCCUCCCCCACCAGCUACAGCGUCGCCAUCAGCUGCAUCGUCCAGGUCCUCGGCCACCUCCCCUCCACCACCGGCCGCUGCAGCCUCGACAGGUCGCUCCCCUCCACCACCAGCCGCAGCCUCCACAAGCCGAUCCCCUCCCCUCCCCUGGACUCCACCGCCGGCGGCAGCCUCCACAAGCCGAUCCCCUCCCCGACCCUGGACUCCACCGCCGGCGACAGCCUCCACAAGCCGAUCCCCUCCUCUCCCCUCCUCUCCACCACCAGUUGCAGCCUCCACAAGCCAACCCUCUCCCCUCCUCUGCUCUCCACCACCAGCCGCAGCCUCCACAAGCCAACCCCCUCCCCGCCACGACCUAACCCCCUCCCGGUCUCUCCACCAUCAGCUGCAGCCUCCACGGGAACUCUUCACCGACAUAGACGGGGUAUCUCGACGCCUCGUGGAUGUGAAUGUGACCGUGGAAGGCUGCUCCUACAGUCGGCCACAGCUUCCACCCUGUGAGGACACUGAGCAGGCAGUGCGUAUUGAGGCCCCACCAUCGCCAAACCACUUUCCACCUGUUUCGGCAUUGAUGCCAAGAGGAUUACUAAUUAAGUAUUUUCUGAGGGUUGAUGCUGGUGGACUCUUCCACACAUAUCCUCAUCGAGGUGGUCCGUUUAAGAGCUUACAAGAAGCUCAGGAUGCUAUAUACUCCUAUCACAUUAAUCUGUGUAAAUUCAAGUACUUGGGUGGGCUUUCCAAAGAGGACAGGUAUGUUUGGCAUACACUAUAUUGGCGUAAUGGCACAAGGAAGAACUCGAAAGAAGCUUUGGAUGUAAUGAUGAACUAUAACCCCACUCGGGAAGUAGUUAAAGCUUUACUGGACAAGCACAAUGAGGACCAUCUUUUGGAGGAUCUUGCAUAUGAAAUCAAGAAAGUUGUGAGUUACAAAGCUCACUUCCCAAGAAAAGGUUCUCAGCAUGAAUGCAGGUCCUUCUCACAUUUAAAUGUGCUUGUAGAAAGAGGACCUAAUGCCAUCGAAGAUCUUCUCUUCAUUGAAAUGACCUGCACAACAGAUGGUGAAUUUGAGGAAUACACGCUUAGUUGCAUUUGUGUGGUUUCAUCCGAAGAUGAUGAUUUACAUUGCCAAUAAAAUCAUGCUCGGUUCUACCGGUAGCCAAUAUAAGGAUACUCCACAAGACCAUGCUGUGAGUGCUGUGAAUGCGGUGAUGAUGUGAAGCAUCCCACUGGUGCGGAGUACAAAAAGUGUGAAGCCAAGCCCCAUGUUCGGUGCAGGAAGCCUAUAUCAGAAGAAGAAUUUAAUGAGUUUAUUGUUGUGCGCGAUGAAGAUUGGCUGGAGACGGAAGAGGCUGCGGUGAGGUGGCAAUUCAGGAUGCGCAACGCAGCAGAUGGCCAUGGAGCGAGGGGCAAAUACAUCGUACCGGCAAAACGUGUGCAGGCAUAGAUGUAGAGUCGAUGGGGCCUAGUGCUUGCUUUGCUGUAUGCCAUUCUUGUGCUGCGUUCGUUUUUGGUACCUGUGAUGCUGAGUCAGUACUAUGUGUCUUGAGUGUUUGGCUUGCUGAUGUAGAAGCCUCGUCUGGGUGGAGGAUAAGCUGGUGUGAAGAUCCUGUGCAGAACCCGUGUUUAUGGUGUAGGUGAACCCAAGUUUUGCGGGAGUAAGCUGGCAAAACGAAAGUGACCAUGUGCUUUGUUGGUGAUUUUGUUUGGUAAAGCAAUGUGCUCUUGCAGUGGA